GACGAACGCUGGCGGCGUGCCUAAUACAUGCAAGUCGAGCGCAGGAAACUGACGGAACUCUUCGGAGGGAAGGCAGUGGAAUGAGCGGCGGACGGGUGAGUAACACGUAAGGAACCUGCCUCAAGGAUUGGGAUAACUCCGAGAAAUCGGAGCUAAUACCGGAUAGUUCAUCGGACCGCAUGGUCCGCUGAUGAAAGGCGCUCCGGCGUCACCUUGAGAUGGCCUUGCGGUGCAUUGGCUAGUUGGUGGGGUAACGGCCCACCAAGGCGACGAUGAAUAGCCGACCUGAGAGGGUGAUCGGCCUCACUGGGACUGAGACACGGCCCAGACUCCUACGGGAGGCAGCAGUAGGGAAUCUUCCACAAUGGACGAAAGUCUGAUGGAGCAACGCCGCGUGAGUGAUGAAGGUUUUCGGAUCGUAAAACUCUGUUGUAAGGGAAGAACACGUACGAGAGGUAAUGCUCGUACCUUGACGGUACCUUACGAGAAAGCCACGGCUAACUACGUGCCAGCAGCCGCAGUAA
rnacentral:rRNA from 1 species